AUGGAUGAACUCCACCCCCUUUGUCACCCACUCCUAAUCCUCUCUUUCCCGCAAUUGUUGAAGAAGCUACAACCGGCCAGGGAAAAAGUUGCAUCCACACUCGGAGGUGUUGGAACCAGCCAGGGAAAAAGCUACGACCACUUCAAUCGGAGGACGACCAGAUUUUUCUGCUGGGUUCUUUCUUUUGUGUUGGAAAUGGUGGUGCAUGCCUAUGGCGAUGAGCGAGGGGAGGCUGUUGCAACCAUGGCGGUCGUGUGCUCGAACGGGCCGGUGAGAGAGUUGCAAAUCGUCAAUGGAAGGGAGUUUGGGACCCAGAGGAGGUCAUGCCGUAAUCCCGGUGGCUGUGUGGCGAGCGGCGGCAAGCUGGUUGUGCCGCCAUGGCUCGCGACGGAGCUGCAGUAG
rnacentral:rRNA from 1 species